CAUUACCAGUAUUAGAGGCACUGCCUGCCCAGUGACAUUAGUUAAACGGCCGCGGUAUCCUGACCGUGCAAAGGUAGCAUAAUCAUUUGUUCCUUARUUAGGGACUUGUAUGAACGGCCCCACGAGGGUUUAACUGUCUCUUACUYCCAAUCAGUGAAAUUGACCUUCCCGUGAAGAGGCGGGAAUACAAAAAUAAGACGAGAAGACCCUAUGGAGCUUAAAUUAACAUGCUCAACAAAAUCCAACUUCACCCAAUAGGAAUAAUYAUACUUUAACUSAGCAUUAAAUUUUGGUUGGGGUGACCUCGGAGUACAACAAAACCUCCGAGAGAUUUAACCAAGACUUACUAGUCAAGGCCACAUAACUCAUUGAUCCAAUCACAUUGAUCAACGAAACAAGUUACCCUAGGGAUAACAGCGCAAUCCUAUUUAAGAGUCCRUAUCRACAAUAGGGUUUACGACCUCGAUGUUGGAUCAGGACACCCAAAUGGUNCAGCAGCU
rnacentral:rRNA from 1 species